rnacentral:rRNA from 1 species
AGUGAACGCUGGCGGUAGGCCUAACACAUGCAAGUCGAACGGCAGCACAGAGGAGCUUGCUCCUUGGGUGGCGAGUGGCGGACGGGUGAGGAAUACAUCGGAAUCUACUCUGUCGUGGGGGAUAACGUAGGGAAACUUACGCUAAUACCGCAUACGACCUACGGGUGAAAGCAGGGGAUCUUCGGACCUUGCGCGAUUGAAUGAGCCGAUGUCGGAUUAGCUAGUUGGCGGGGUAAAGGCCCACCAAGGCGACGAUCCGUAACUGGUCUGAGAGGAUGAUCAGCCACACUGGAACUGAGACACGGUCCAGACUCCUACGGGAGGCAGCAGUGGGGAAUAUUGGACAAUGGGCGCAAGCCUGAUCCAGCCAUACCGCGUGGGUGAAGAAGGCCUUCGGGUUGUAAAGCCCUUUUGUUGGGAAAGAAAUCCAGCUGGCUAAUACCCGGUUGGGAUG